rnacentral:rRNA from 1 species
CGAAGGGGGCUAGCGUUGUUCGGAAUCACUGGGCGUAAAGCGUGCGCAGGCGGCUAUGCAAGUCAGGGGUGAAAUGCCAAGGCUUAACCUUGGAACUGCCUUUGAAACUGCAUAGCUAGAGUCCCGGAGGGGUUAGUGGAAUUCCUAAUGUAGCAGUGAAAUGCGUAGAUGUUAGGAGGAACACCAGUGGCGAAGGCGGCUAACUGGACGGGUACUGACGCUCAUGCACGAAAGCGUGGGGAUCAAACAGGAUUAGAUACCCUGGUGGUCCACGCCCUAAACGAUGGGUGCUAGCCGUUGGGAGUUCAGCUCUCGGUGGCGUAGCUAACGCGUUAAGCACCCCGCCUGGGGAGUACGGUCGCAAGACUA